rnacentral:tmRNA from 1 species
CCCUUUGCAAUUCACGGGCGGCAUGCCUAUAUUUGUAGUGUUCCGCAAGGAACUAUGGACAUAAACGCGCUCGAAAUAAGCGGAUCGGACCCGGGGGCGGUACCCGGCGGCUCCACCAGAAAUCCUUUCGUUGGAGGGUAUCAGGGGCCGAAACAGGAUCGACGAACGUGUAAAGGGGUUGCUUUGUCCCGGUGAGAUACCACCGUUAUCGGUUCAUCAAAGCAUAAUUGCCAACGACAAUCGUGCUCCGGCCCUCGCAGCAGCGUAAGCUGUUGUAAAGGCCGAAACUUAAGCCCUUGCCUCUAGCAAGGUAAGGCGGGGUUCGCAGGCACCUGGCAACAGAAGCCUGCACU